rnacentral:tRNA from 1 species
GGAACCCUGGCUCAGUCAUACAGCAUCUGUUUGGCAUGCAGAAGGUCCCAGGUUCAAUCCCUGGCAUCUCCA